rnacentral:rRNA from 1 species
UAAACGACUCUCGGCAACGGAUAUCUCGGCUCUCGCAUCGAUGAAGAACGUAGCGAAAUGCGAUACUUGGUGUGAAUUGCAGAAUCCCGUGAACCAUCGAGUCUUUGAACGCAAGUUGCGCCCGACGCCUUCGGGCUGAGGGCACGCCUGCCUGGGCGUCACGC